GUAGGUGAACCUGCGGAAGGAUCAUUACAGAGUUCAUGCCCUUCGGGGUAGAUCUCCCACCCUUGCGUAUCAUUAUAGAAUGUUGCUUUGGCGGGCCGCGCCUAGUGUGCCUGGAUUCGCGUCUAGCGUGCCCGCCAGAGGACCCCUAAACUCUGAAUGUUAGUGUCGUCUGAGUACUAUUAAAUAGUUAAAACUUUCAACAACGGAUCUCUUGGUUCUGGCAUCGAUGAAGAACGCAGCAUCUGACUGA
rnacentral:misc_RNA from 1 species